rnacentral:rRNA from 1 species
AUUGAACGCUGGCGGCAGGCUUAACACAUGCAAGUCGAGCGAGCGGCGGACGGGUGAGUAAUGUCUGGGAAACUGCCUGAUGGAGGGGGAUAACUACUGGAAACGGUAGCUAAUACCGCAUACCAUCAGAUGUGCCCAGAUGGGAUUAGCUAGUAGGUGGGGUAAUGGCUCACCUAGGCGACGAUCCCUAGCGGGUCUGAGAGGGUGACCACAAACACGGGAACUGAGACCGGGUCCAGACUCCUAGGGGGGGCAGGUGGGGGAAAUAUUGCAAAAGGGGCGAAAGCCUGAUGCAGCCAUGCCGCGUGUGUGAAGAAGGCCUCGGGUUGUAAAGCACUUUCAGCGAGGAGGCGUUACUCGCAGAAGAAGCACCGGCUAACUCCGUGCCAGCAGCCGCGGUAAUUC